AAACAUUUUGUUAACAAAUUGUUUAUUAUAAUGCAAUUACGUAUAUAGAUAGAUAUAUGUAUAUAAAGAUAUAUUUACAGGCUGGGACACACGCAUAGCGAAUGAGGCAACAAAACACAUGGACGAAUAAAUAGAAAAAAUAGUAAACAAACCCAAAACCUAAUUGAGAUGAACAUGAGUUGAGUAUUGAGAAAGGGAUUGGGAAUGGGAUAGGAAAUGGAAUGGGGAAUGGGGAUGAGC